UACAGAGGUGGCAAGCGUUGUUCGGAAUUACUGGGCGUAAAGGGCGCGUAGGCGGUUCGUUAAGUCCUGUGUGAAAUCCCCCGGCUCAACUGGGGAACUGCACAGGAAACUAGCGGGCUUGAGUUCGGGAGAGGGAAGCGGAAUUCCGGGUGUAGCGGUGAAAUGCGUAGAUAUCGUGAGGAACACCAGAGGCGAAGGCGGUUACCUGGACAAUUACUGACGCUCAGGCACGAAAGCAUGGGUAGCAAAAGGG
rnacentral:rRNA from 1 species